rnacentral:misc_RNA from 1 species
GAUGAAGAACGCAGCGAAAUGCGAUAAGUAGUGUGAAUUGCAGAAUUCAGUGAAUCAUCGAAUCUUUGAACGCACAUUGCGCCCCUUGGUAUCCCGAGGGGCAUGUCUGUUCGAGCGUCAUUUCACCACUCAAGCCUGGCUUGGUGUUGGGCGACGUCCCCUUUAGGGACGCGCCUCGAAACGCUCGGCGGCGUGGCACCGGCUUUAAGCGUAGCAGAAUCUUUCGCUUUGGAAGUCGGGGCCCCGCCUGCCGGAAUACCUACUCGUAAGGUUGACCUCGGAUCAGGCAGGGAUACCCGCUGAACUUAAGCAUAUCAAUAAGCGGAGGA